CCUACGGGAGGCAGCAGUGGGGAAUAUUGGACAAUGGGGGGAACCCUGAUCCAGCCAUACCGCGUGUGUGAAGAAGGCCCUCGGGUUGUAAAGCACUUUCAGUGAGGAAGAACGCCUGGUGGUUAAUACCCAUCAGGAAAGACAUCACUCACAGAAGAAGCACCGGCUAACUCCGUGCCAGCAGCCGCGGUAAUACGGAGGGUGCGAGCGUUAAUCGGAAUUACUGGGCGUAAAGCGCGCGUAGGUGGCUUGAUAAGCCGGUUGUGAAAGCCCCGGGCUCAACCUGGGAACGGCAUCCGGAACUGUCAAGCUAGAGUGCAGGAGAGGAAGGUAGAAUUCCCGGUGUAGCGGUGAAAUGCGUAGAGAUCGGGAGGAAUACCAGUGGCGAAGGCGGCCUUCUGGACUGACACUGACACUGAGGUGCGAAAGCGUGGGUAGCAAACAGGAUUAGAUACCCGAGUAGUC
rnacentral:rRNA from 1 species